AUGUUUACCCUAAGUGUUGUCCCCUACAGGGUGUUUACUAUGUUAACCCUAAGUGUUGUCCCCUACAGUGUGUUUACUAUGUUAACCCUAAGUGUUGUCCCCUACAGUGUGUUUACCAUGUUAACCCUAAGUGUUUACCCCUACAGUGUAUUUACCAUGUUAACCCUAAGUGUUGUCCCCUACAGUGUGUUUACAAUGUUAACCCUAAGUGUUGUCCCCUACAGUGUGUUUACUGUGUUGUCCCCUAUGUUUACCCUAAGUGUUGUCCCCUAUGUUUACCCUAAGUGUUGUCCCCUACAGGGUGUUUACCAUGUUAACCCUGAGUGUUGUCCCCUACAGUGUGUUUACUAUGUUAACCCUAAGUGUUGUCCCCUACAGUGUGUUUACUAUGUUAACCCUAAGUGUUGUCCCCUACAGUGUGUUUACUAUGUUAACCCUAAGUGUUGUCCCCUACAGUGUGUUUACUAUGUUAACCCUAAGUGUUGUCCCCUACAGUGUGUUUACUGGUGUAACCCUAAGUGUUGUCCCCUACAGUGUGUUUACUAUGUUAACCCUAAGUGUUGUCCCCUACAGUGUGUUUACUAUGUUAACCCUAAGUGUUGUCCCCUACAGUGUGUUUACUAUGUUAACCCUAAGUGUUGUCCCCUACAGUGUGUUUACUAUGUUAACCCUAAGUGUUGUCCCCUACAGUGUGUUUACUAUGUUAACCCUAAGUGUUGUCCCCUACAGUGUGUUUACUAUGUUAACCCUAAGUGUUGUCCCCUACAGUGUGUUUACUAUGUUGUCCCCUACAGUGUGUUUACUAUGUUAACCCUAAGUGUUGUCCCCUACAGUGUGUUUACUAUGUUAACCCUAAGUGUUGUCCCCUACAGUGUGUUUACUGGUGUAACCCUAAGUGUUGUCCCCUACAGUGUGUUUACUAUGUUAACCCUAAGUGUUGUCCCCUACAGUGUGUUUACUAUGUUAACCCUAAGUGUUGUCCCCUACAGUGUGUUUACCCUAAGUGUUGUCCCCUACAGUGUGUUUACUAUGUUAACCCUAAGUGUUGUCCCCUACAGUGUGUUUACUAUGUUAACCCUAAGUGUUGUCCCCUACAGUGUGUUUACUAUGUUAACCCUAAGUGUUGUCCCCUACAGUGUGUUUACUAUGUUAACCCUAAGUGUUGUCCCCUACAGUGUGUUUACUAUGUUAACCCUAAGUGUUGUCCCCUACAGUGUGUUUACUAUGUUAACCCUAAGUGUUGUCCCCUACAGUGUGUUUACCCUAAGUGUUGUCCCCUACAGUGUGUUUACUAUGUUAACCCUAAGUGUUGUCCCCUACAGUGUGUUUACUAUGUUAACCCUAAGUGUUGUCCCCUACAGUGUGUUUACAAUGUUAACGCUAAGUGUUGUUUACUAUACCUUGAGUGUUCUGUUGUGUCCCUCCUGUAGAUGUGGACAGCAGAGGAGACGGAGUGGGUGA
rnacentral:lncRNA from 1 species